CGCAGCGCGAGCGAUAGCAGCGGGCCCGAGCAACGAGCCCCUCACGAGUCCUGAGUAACGAACACGCCGCCCAAGGCCCACGGAAGCCGUCUGGACGCCGCCUCCUGGGGGACUGCUACGGGUCUCGCGCUGAAAAGCGAUAUGUCCCAAUGAGAUCAGCUAUUGACCACCCUAACACAUUCAUAAUUAUAUAUCCCAGCUGUUCCUGAGAGCCUGCAAGGGGAGAAGUUUUGGGAGUAGGCUAGGAGACUAAAUUAGCCUUCCAUGAUGAAAACUGAGUGAGCCUACACCAGAUUCUGGAAAGGUAUUUCAGCAUGGCCUCUGCAGCUUCCUUCUCUUCUUUAGCCUGCUGCCGGAAAAACUUUGAAAAGUUUGGUAGAGCCACAUCAGACUGAUCAAAAACUUCACCCUACAUAUUUAAACAACAAAAAUUGCUGUUAAAGUAUGAAAGCCUGGAGUUAGGAGGAAAGAAGGGAGAAAUUAAUAUCCAGCAGAACACAGGUCAAUCAGAUCUAAUAUUUAAAGAACAAAGGAGAAAAUUAUUCUCAAUAGUGCUUGUGCUUCUAACUGCCUUCGGAACCUCUAAAAACUUCUACCCCAAUUAUUACAAAUGAAGUAAGUCAAAUGUUCCUCCAGAUCAGGGCCGCCGAGAGGCGGGGGCAAGUGGGGCAAUUUGCCCCAGGCCCCGCAGAGGCC